rnacentral:tRNA from 1 species
GCCCGCGUAGCUCAGGGGAAAGAGCAACCGCCUCCUAAGCGGUAGGUCGCAGGUUCGAAUCCUGCCGCGGGCG